UCCCCUUCGGGGGACAGAGUGACAGUUCNGUGCAUGGUUGUCGUCAGCUCGUGUCGUGAGAUGUUGGGUUAAGUCCCGCAACGAGCGCAACCCUUGAUCUUAGUUGCCAGCAUUUAGUUGGGCACUCUAAGGUGACUGCCGGUGACAAACCGGAGGAAGGUGGGGAUGACGUCAAAUCAUCAUGCCCCUUAUGACCUGGGCUACACACGUGCUACAAUGGAUGGUACAAAGGGCUGCAAGACCGCGAGGUCAAGCCAAUCCCAUAAAACCAUUCUCAGUUCGGAUUGUAGGCUGCAACUCGCCUACAUGAAGCUGGAAUCGCUAGUAAUCGCGGAUCAGCAUGCCGCGGUGAAUACGUUCCCGGGCCUUGUACACACCGCCCGUCACACCACGAGAGUUUGUAACACCC
rnacentral:rRNA from 2 species